AGGAUGAACGCUGGCGGUCUGCUUAACACAUGCAAGUCGAACGGAGUAGCAAUACUUAGUGGCGGACGGGUGAGUAACGCGUGAGAAUCUACCUUCAGGACGGAGACAACAGUUGGAAACGACUGCUAACCCCCGAUGUACCGAAAGGGCAAAUAUUUAUAGCCUGAAGAAGAGCUCGCGUCCGAUUAGCUAGUUGGAGAGGUAAAAGCUCACCAAGGCGACGAUCGGUAGCUGGUCUGAGAGGACGAUCAGCCACACUGGGACUGAGACACGGCCCAGACUCCUACGGGAGGCAGCAGUGGGAAUUUCGCAAUGGGCGAAAGCCUGACGGAGCAAGACCGCGUGGGGGAAGAAGGCUCUUGGGUUGUAAACCCCUUUUCUCUGGGAAGAACGCAAUGACGGUACCAGAGGAAUCAGCAUCGGCUAACUCCGUGCCAGCAGCCGC
rnacentral:rRNA from 1 species